CACGUAGGGCACAAGCGUUGUCCGGAAUUAUUGGGCGUAAAGAGCUCGUAGGCGGUCUGUUGCGUCCGCUGUGAAAACUCGGGGCUUAACCCCGAGCCUGCAGUGGAUACGGGCAGACUAGAGGUAGGUAGGGGAGAAUGGAAUUCCCGGUGUAGCGGUGGAAUGCGUAGAGAUCCGGAAGAACACCGGUGGCGAAGGCGGUCUGCUGGGGUAUGCUGAC
rnacentral:rRNA from 1 species